UAUUAGAUACCCGUGUAGUCCCAGCUGUAAACGAUGCAGGCUAGGUGUUUGGACGGCCACGUGCCGUUCUAGUGCCGCAGGGAAGCUGUUAAGCCUGCCGCCUGGGGAGUACGAUCGCAAGAUUGAAACUUAAAGGAAUUGGCGGGGGAGCACCACAAGGGGUGAAGCUUGCGGUUUAAUUGGAGUCAACGCCGGAAAUCUCACCAGGGGCGACAGCAGAAUGAUAGCCAGGUUGAUGACCUUGCUUGACUAGCUGAGAGGUGGUGCAUGGC
rnacentral:rRNA from 1 species